GAGGCGAUGCCGCGAGGCGGAGCAAAUCUCCAAAAGCCGUCCCAGUUCGGAUUGCAGGCUGCAACCCGCCUGCAUGAAGUUGGAAUCGCUAGUAAUCGCGGAUCAGCAUGCCGCGGUGAAUACGUUCCCGGGCCUUGUACACACCGCCCGUCACACCAUGAGAGUCGGGAACACCCGAAGUCCGUAGCCUAACCGCAAGGGGGGCGCGGCCGAAGGUGGGUUCGAUAAUUGGGGUGAAGUCGUAACAAGGUAGC
rnacentral:rRNA from 1 species